rnacentral:rRNA from 1 species
CUGAUUUUUUUAGUCUAGCCUGCCCACUGAAUAAUUUUUAAAUGGCCGCAGUAUACUAACUGUGCAAAGGUAGCAUAAUCAUUAGUCUUUUAAUUGAAGGCUGGUAUGAAUGGUUGGACGAGAUAUUAACUGUUUCAUAAAAAUUUAUAAUAGAAUUUUAUUUUUUAGUCAAAAAGCUAAAAUAUAUUUAAAAGACGAGAAGACCCUAUAAAUCUUUAUAUUUAGGUUAUUAUAAUUUUAUAGAUUUUUUUUGUUAUAAUAAUUGAUAAUAUUUUAUUGGGGUGAUAUUAAAAUUUGAUAAACUUUUAAUUGUUUAAAUCAUUAAUUUAUGAAUAAUUGAUCCGUUAUUAGCGAUUAAAAAAAUAAGUUACUUUAGGGAUAACAGCGUAAUUUUUUUGGAGAGUUCAUAUCGAUAAAAAAGAUUGCGACCUCGAUGUUGGAUUAAGAUAUAAUUUUAGGUGUAGCCGCUUAAAUUUUAAGUCUGUUCGACUUUUAAAUUCUUACCUGAUCUGAUUCAGACCGGA